GCCUUCGUGGUGUAGUGGUCAGCACGCUGGACCGGGAUUCCGGAGGUCCGUGGUUCGAUUUCCGCCGAAGGCG